rnacentral:rRNA from 1 species
GGGUGAGUAACACGUGGGUAACCUGCCCUAAAGUCUGGGAUACCACUUGGAAACAGGUGCUAAUACCGGAUAACAACAAUAGCUGCAUGGCUAUUGCUUAAAAGGCGGCGAAAGCUGUCGCUAAAGGAUGGACCCGCGGUGCAUUAGCUAGUUGGUAAGGUAAUGGCUUACCAAGGCGACGAUGCAUAGCCGAGUUGAGAGACUGAUCGGCCACAUUGGGACUGAGACACGGCCCAAACUCCUACGGGAGGCAGCAGUAGGGAAUCUUCCACAAUGGGCGAAAGCCUGAUGGAGCAACGCCGCGUGAGUGAAGAAGGUUUUCGGAUCGUAAAGCUCUGUUGUUGGUGAAGAAGGAUAGAGGUAGUAACUGGCCCCUAUUUGACGGUAAUCAACCAGAAAGUCACGGCUAACUACGUGCCAGCAGCCGCGGUAAUACGUAGGUGGCAAGCGUUGUCCGGAUUUAUUGGGCGUAAAGCGAGCGCAGGCGGAAAGAUAAGUCUGAUGUGAAAGCCCCCGGCUUAACCGAGGAAUUGCAUCGGAAACUGUGUUUCUUGAGUGCAGAAGAGGAGAGUGGAACUCCAUGUGUAGCGGUGGAAUGCGUAGAUAUAUGGAAGAACACCAGUGGCGAAGGCGGCUCUCUGGUCUGUAACUGACGCUGAGGCUCGAAAGCAUGGGUAGCGAACAGGAUUAGAUACCCUGGUAGUCCAUGCCGUAA